UUAGUUGUUAGAGUUAGAUAAGAACCGUACUGAGUAAUUGUACUCACACUUUGAUCCAAGCACAGCGAUCAAUUAGCUUUAGCCGUCCAGCUUGCCUCAUAUCCUUCUUCCGCAUCCAGUCCUUGCAAAAUCUCAGAGCUUUCCUUCCCAGGAUGCUAGCAAGCAGUAGGCGAUGGCCAAAAGAUGUAGCCCGACUUGCCCCCACUGACGAGGGGCUAAAUUGUAAUUUCCCGAGGGUCUUCUUUCACAUUUCAGACGGACAGAAGUGCUUCUUUAACGGGGACCUCGUCUCAUGGUGAGCAACUUUGUGUAGAGUUGUCAGUUGCAUCUCAUCCUGAUGCGUCCUGGAUGCCUCCCUAUGAGGUGCUCCGGGCAUGCCCAGCCGGAGGAGGCCCCGGGGCAGACUUGGAACAUGCUGGAGGGAUUGUGUCUCACAGCUUGCCUGGUAGCGCCUCGGCGUUCCCAGAUAAGACGAAAAAAAUGGAUGGCUGGAUGCAGGGGGUAGUCCAACAACACCAAAGCCAUCACUGCUGCUGAACACAAAGAUGAACACCACCCCUCACAGGAGGGACAACAAAAAACUCCACUACAGCUUUUCAAUCGUAUAAUAAAUAUUGGACAUCACAGCAUUAACCAGGCAGACUGAGGCGUCGCCUGAAGCAGAGGGGAGGAGGAGGAGGAGGAAAAGAGCGAGAGAGGAUGAUGAUGAAACUCAAGUGUAAGAGACAUUUGUGAAAGAUAUCAUGACCUGCAACUUGUGUGAAAUGCUGUUCUUCUGUGUUUAACGCCUUGCUGCCAAACUGUGAGGACGCUGGAAGAUGACUAGUGGGAAUUCAUUGAAUGGAUUUAUCCUGCUUGUAGAGAGAGUGGAACCUUUUAGCACGCAUGAUGUACUAUGUAGUGGUCACAUGAUUUAUGCUUUAAUUAAAACCAUAAUUGCUUCAGAUAUUCCACUCCUAAAUCAUAUGUUUUAGUUCUUUGAAGGGCUAUGCAUUCAUUAAUGCAUCCCAAUUUCAUUCAUUUAUCAUUAUUACACAAGUUAUUGCUUAGUCUACUGCUAUAUCCUGUAUACAUUAUUCAAUGUUUCUGUAUUUCUUCAUUCAUUCAUUUUUUACCGCUUAUCCUCACGAGGGUCGCGGGGGUGCUGGAGCCUAUCCCAGCCCUCUUGGGGCGAGAGGCGGGGUACACCCUGGACUGGUCGCCAGCCAAUCACAGGGCACAUAUAGACAAACAACCAUUCACACUCACAUUCAUACCUAUGGAGUGGCCAAUUAACCUAGCAUGUUUUUGGAAUGUGGGAGGAAACCAGAGUACCCGGAGAAAACCCACGCAUGCACUGGGAGAACAUGCAAACUCCACACAGAGAUGCCCGAGGGUGGAAUCAAACUCAGGUCUCCUAGCUGUGUGGCCUGCGUGCUAACCACUCCUCCGCCGUGCAGCCCAUGUUUGAAAUAAAUAACUAAAAAGAAAAUAACAUUACCAUCAAUGACAAGCGCAUUUUGUCCAAGAAGCAGCACACGUAACACAAGUGUGUACAAAGUAUAUCAUCAAGUGUAUUUUUUUUGUAUCUUUAUGCACGUUCUGUACACAUAUUGAGACCCAUUUCACAUGAACACUAUACAAUAGCAAUGAGUGAGGAAUGGAGUAUCUUCAGAGCACAGAGCAGCUCACGUCGAAUGGCACUUUUCAUAAAAAAGUAACAGGUAACCACAGAGCAUGAAUAAUAAGUCAGUGUAGACAGAACCCAACAGAGGAGAUGGCUUUAUAUUAUUCGAUCCAUUGAGUAACAGAUUCAGCACAUAUAAAAUGCACAAUGCAAUAAAACAA